UAGGGAAUCUUCCACAAUGGACGCAAGUCUGAUGGAGCAACGCCGCGUGAGUGAAGAAGGUUUUCGGAUCGUAAAGCUCUGUUGUUGGUGAAGAAGGAUAGAGGCAGUAACUGGUCUUUAUUUGACGGUGAUCAACCAGAAAGUCACGGCUAACUACGUGCCAGCAGCCGCGGUAAUACGUAGGUGGCAAGCGUUGUCCGGAUUUAUUGGGCGUAAAGCGAGCGCAGGCGGAAUGAUAAGUCUGAUGUGAAAGCCCACGGCUCAACCGUGGAACUGCAUCGGAAACUGUCAUUCUUGAGUGCAGAAGAGGAGAGUGGAAUUCCAUGUGUAGCGGUGGAAUGCGUAGAUAUAUGGAAGAACACCAGUGGCGAAGGCGGCUCUCUGGUCUGCAACUGACGCUGAGGCUCGAAAGCAUGGGUAGCGAACAGG
rnacentral:rRNA from 1 species